AGUGAACGCUGGCGGUAGGCCUAACACAUGCCAGUCGAACGGCAGCACAGUAAGAGCUUGCUCUUACGGGUGGCGAGUGGCGGACGGGUGAGGAAUACAUCGGAAUCUACUUUUUCGUGGGGGAUAACGUAGGGAAACUUACGCUAAUACCGCAUACGACCUACGGGUGAAAGCAGGGGAUCUUCGGACCUUGCGCGAUUGAAUGAGCCGAUGUCGGAUUAGCUAGUUGGCGGGGUAAAGGCCCACCAAGGCGACGAUCCGUAGCUGGUCUGAGAGGAUGAUCAGCCACACUGGAACUGAGACACGGUCCAGACUCCUACGGGAGGCAGCAAUGGGGAAUAUUGGACAAUGGGCGCAAGCCUGAUCCAGCCAUACCGCGUGGGUGAAGAAGGCCUUCGGGUUGUAAAGCCCUUUUGUUGGGAAAGAAAAGCAGCAGGUUAAUACCCCGCUGUUCUGACGGUACCCAAAGAAUAAGCACCGGCUAACUUCGUG
rnacentral:rRNA from 1 species